GGCGGCGUGGAUAAGACAUGCAAGUCGGACGGGAACUUUUUUGGUAGCAAUACUAGAAAAGUUCUAGUGGCGAACGGGUGCGUAACACGUGGGCAAUCUGCCGAGAAGUGGGGGAUAGCUCGCCGAAAGGCGAAUUAAUACCGCAUAUGAUCAGAGGCGACAUCGCUUCGAAAUCAAAGGUGGCGCAAGCUACCGCUUUUUGAGGAGCCCGCGGCCUAUCAGCUUGUUGGUGAGGUAACGGCUCACCAAGGCGUUGACGGGUAGCUGGUCUGAGAGGACGACCAGUCACACUGGGACUGAGACACGGCCCAGACACCUACGGGUGGCAGCAGUCGAGAAUUUUUCUCAAUGGGGAAACCCUGAAGGAGCGACGCCGCGUGGAGGAUGAAGGUCUUCGGGUUGUAAACUCCUGUCAUUUGGGAACAAGUGCCGGUACAUAACUGCUACCGGCUUGAUAGUACCAGAAGAGGAAGAGACGGCUAACUCUGUGCCAGCAGCCGCGGUAAUACAGAGGUCUCAAGCGUUGUUCGGAUUCAUUGGGCGUAAAGGGUGCGUAGGUGGCGCGGUAAGUCGGGUGUGAAAUU
rnacentral:rRNA from 1 species